AUUGCUGACCGCUCCAUUCCUUGAUCGUGAAAUAUUUUUGCUAAUGCCAUAUUUACCUGUUAGAUAGAAAAAAUAAAAUUAAUUUUAAGAAAUUCUGGUUUGUAACUUUAAAAAAAAUUAUUUUUUUAAUUUUCGAAAGUACGUAUAUAUAAAAGUUCUAAGUGACUGGACCACUCUAUAUUAUUUUACGACGUUUAUGAAAAUGUUCAAGUGAAAAAAAAUAAAAUUUUUAAAAAGGCUGAAGGGAUUUUGUGUGGUGCCAGCAUCGCUGAUUGACUUUAGAUGAGCCGUUAUCAAAUUAUCAUGUACGUCAACGACAUACCAACUUUUUGAGGAGCUCCGUUCAUCCGUUGUUUAUUCAUAAAAAAAAGUU